rnacentral:tRNA from 1 species
GGGCCCGUAGCUUAAUUGGCAGAGCGCCUGUGUUGCAUACAGGAGGUUGUCGGUUCGACUCCGAUCGGGUCCA